AUUAAGAAGUCUACAUAUUUUGCGUGUAAGCCAAUGGUCGUCCUCCGGGGCACCAAAGGCGCAGAGAACAUAACUUGAGUUGUGCGGGAUUACGGACACGGCUCUCUGCUCGUCCCUCCAUCCCCGGGUGUUGUAAUCGCCAUGCGGCUACCGGGAUCCAGGCGAAAUAUCAACCGAACCAUCUAGUAGCUGGUUCCCUGCGAAGUUUCCCUCAGGAGAGCUGAAGCACACAACGUUUCGAAACCUAUUCUUAUCUGGAAAAGCGAAUGAUUAGAUGCCUUAGAUUCGAAAUGAUCUUAACCUAUUCUCAAACUAUAAAUGGGUACGUACCAUAGCAUUCUGGCAUGAUGCUGUUGCAAACGUUGGUAAACGCCGGGCCGUCCCUUGUCAGGGCACGCCACGGCGUCGAAGGUAUCUGUGUGCUUAGUGGACCAAGUUUUGGUAAGCAGAACUAGUGCUGUGAGAUGAACCAAACGUAAUAUUACGACGCCAAAAUAAACGACGCAUCAUAGACACCAUGAAAGGCGUUGAUUGCUACAGACAGCAGGACGGUGGAUAUGAAAGUUGUCAUCCGCUAAGAAGUUUGUAACAAUUCACCUUCCGUAACAAUUACCCCUUAAAAUGGAUGGCGCUUAAGUCGUUUGCCUGCACAUUAUCGCUGGCGCACAAGUGGGGCAGCGUCUCGAGCGCGUCUGCUUUUGAGGCACCAGCGAGUAGGAGGGUUUGGUGGUGUGCGUUGAAGUGCCUGGUAUAAGCCGACAUGGAGCCGCCACUAGCACAGAUCUUGGUGGUAGUAGCAAAUAUUCGAAUGAGAUCUUGGAUGACUGAAGUGGAGGAUGGUUUCGUUUCAACAGCAGUUGAACGCGAGUUAAUCAAUCCUAAGCCCUUUGAGAAACCUGAUACCUAUAUAUUAAGCAACCAAAUACAACGCAACGUAUGUUGAUGCAACCGACACGAUGUAUAUUAAAUGAGCGAAAGGGAAUCCGGUUACAAUUCCGGAGACCGUUGGGUAUACGUUUGCAUUGUCGUCUCAUUCCGGCAACGGUAGCGCCUCUGUAAUCAUGGCAACAUGAAUCCUUAAGGAUAUCUCUUCCGGAAUUCUUCUUAAAUUUUCUCAGGAAAUUAUUUUUGAAACUUAUCUACGAGACUUCCAUGUAAUUCCAAAAUCUCCAAAUAUUCGUU
rfam:Aedes albopictus isolate Foshan contig5455, whole genome shotgun sequence.